rnacentral:rRNA from 1 species
GAUGAACGCUAGCGGGAGGCCUAACACAUGCAAGUCGAACGGGAUUGAGAGCUUGCUCUCAUGAGAGUGGCGCACGGGUGAGUAACGCGUAUGCAACCUGCCUUUAACAGAGGGAUAGCCCAUAGAAAUGUGGAUUAAUACCUCAUAGUUCUGAGAGAUCGCAUGAUUUUUCAGAUAAAGCUCCGGCGGUUAAAGAUUGGCAUGCGUGACAUUAGCUAGUUGGUGAGGUAACGGCUCACAAAGGCGACCAUGUCUAGGGGUUCUGAGAGGAUGAUCCCCCACACUGGUACUGAGACACGGACCAGACUCCUACGGGAGGCAGCAGUGAGGAAUAUUGGUCAAUGGGCGCAAGCCUGAACCAGCCAUCCCGCGUGCAGGAUGACGGCCCUAUGGGUUGUAAACUGCUUUUAUACACCAAGAAAAAUCCGAACGUGUUCGGACCCGACGGUAGUGUAUGAAUAAGCAUCGGCUAACUCCGUGCCAGCAGCCGCAGUAAUAC